rnacentral:sRNA from 1 species
UCGUCGGCGAUGGUCGGGGAGAUGAAGUGGACGUGGGCGUCGAUGGCCCCGGCGGUGAGGAUCUUGCCGUUGCCCGCGAUGACCUCCGUCUCCGGCCCGAUGACGAGGUCCGGGUGGACACCGUCCAUGGUGUCCGGGUUCCCCGCCUUGCCGAUGCCGGUGAUCCGGCCGUCACGCAGCCCGACAUCUGCCUUGACGACGCCCCAGUGGUCCAGGAUCACGGCGCCCGUAAUCACGGUGUCGGGGGUCCCCUCGGCGCGCGUGGCACGGGACUGGCCCAUGGACUCACGG